rnacentral:lncRNA from 1 species
GUAUUAGAAUCAUUGGCUGACAAAAAGCUGUUAUAGCUCAACACUAUCUCUUCCUUGGAGGAGGUGACAGACAAUGGCUAAUUGUACUCCAAAUCAGAAAUUACCACACUGUGUUGCUUUGAAUGAGAGUAGUCCCCAUAGUCUCAUAUUAUAAAUACUUGGUGCCCAGUCAGUAGAGCUGUUUGGGGAAAUAAUUAGAAGGUGUGGCCUUGGAGGAAGAGUGUCAGUGUGGGUGGGCUUAGAGAUUUUAAAAGCCCACACCACUCCAGUUAGCUCUUUCUGGGUCAUUCUCUGCAUCUUGACUGUGGAUUAAAUGUGAGCUUUCAGCUACUACUCCAACAUCAUGCCCGCCUGCAUUCUGCCAUGUUGCCUGGCAUGAUGGUCAUGGACUCACCCCUGAAACUGUAAACUGCAAUAACAAUAACCUCCGUCUUGAAUAGGCUGCCUUGGUCAUGAUGCUUUGUCAUAGCAAUAGAAAAAUAACUAAAACACAUAUCUUAUUUCUAUUUGUGGAAUACAAAUGAGAAAAUCCAAAUUUUUAACACUUCAGCACAAUUGAAGCACUAGGUAAACAUAUUUUAGCAUAACCCUUCUAUUCUUUUCUGUGUCCUUUUGUCUACCACCCAUUCAUCCCUUUCUGUUUCAGACUUUUUCUUAUACCCUAAUUUCCUUCUGCUGAGAUUCUGGAGGAAAAUGAGAAAACUUGGCAGAUAAGAUAAAUGACUCAUUAGUCAGCUUUUCAUCAAUGUAACAAAAUGCUUAAGAAACGAAAAUAUUUAUGUCACUUUCAGUGGAGUUUGUCUUUCAUCUCUCAGUGGCAUUUCAGGUCACUAAGUGCUAUCCAAUUUAUUUGUAUUCCGGUGCCACUCCAGUGAAGCAUGCCUCUCUGUCAGCUGAGUGUAAGAUGCAGGUGCUCAGCACUUGGAAGCCAUGCCAUGAACAAAUCGACGGUAUCAGCAGCAGCCAGCCAUCCUGUAGACAAUUUCCAAGUAACGACUGGAGAAGAGUUCUCAAAAUUUUUUAGCAGUCCUAACUUCAGUUUUCCCUGGAAAAUCUGAGAUCACUUUCUUGGACUUUGUUAAACUGUCAUAUUUUAUUCCAACUCUCCUUAAUCCUAUUGAAUAUCUAUUUGGUAUUUUAUUUCCAUAAGUAGUUCCUUUAUCACACUGAA